rnacentral:rRNA from 1 species
CAGGCCUAACACAUGCAAGUCGAGCGAAGUCUUCGGACUUAGCGGCGGACGGGUGAGUAACGCGUGGGAACGUGCCCUUUGGUUCGGAAUAGCCCUGGGAAACUGGGAGUAAUACCGGAUACGGUCGAGAGACGAAAGAUUUAUCGCCGAAGGAUCGGCCCGCGUUGGAUUAGGUAGUUGGUGGGGUAACGGCCUACCAAGCCGACGAUCCAUAGCUGGUUUGAGAGGAUGAUCAGCCACACUGGGACUGAGACACGGCCCAGACUCCUACGGGAGGCAGCAGUGGGGAAUCUUAGACAAUGGGGGAAACCCUGAUCUAGCCAUGCCGCGUGAUCGAUGAAGGCCUUAGGGUUGUAAAGAUCUUUCAGUGGGGAAGAUAAUGACUGUACCCACAGAAGAAGCCCCGGCUAACUCCGUGCCAGCAGCCGCGGUAAU